rnacentral:rRNA from 1 species
GAACUGAAGAGUUUGAUCCUGGCUCAGAUUGAACGCUGGCGGCAUGCCUUACACAUGCAAGUCGAACGGUAACGCGGGGCAACCUGGCGACGAGUGGCGAACGGGUGAGUAAUAUAUCGGAACGUGCCCAGUAGUGGGGGAUAGCCCGGCGAAAGCCGGAUUAAUACCGCAUACGACCUACGGGAGAAAGCGGGGGAUCGCAAGACCUCGCGCUAUUGGAGCGGCCGAUAUCAGAUUAGGUAGUUGGUGGGGUAAAGGCCUACCAAGCCUACGAUCUGUAGCUGGUCUGAGAGGACGACCAGCCACACUGGGACUGAGACACGGCCCAGACUCCUACGGGAGGCAGCAG